AUACGUAGGGGGCGAGCGUUGUCCGGAAUGAUUGGGCGUAAAGGGCGCGUAGGCGGCCCGGUAAGUCUGGAGUGAAAGUCCUGGUUUUAAGCUGGGAAUUGCUUUGGAUACUGUCGGGCUUGAGUGCAGGAGAGGUAAGUGGAAUUCCAAGUGUAGCGGUGAAAUGCGUAGAGAUUGGGAGGAACACCAGUGGCGAAGGCGGCUUACUGGACUGUAACUGACGCUGAGGCGCGAAAGUGUGGGGAGCAAACAGGAUUAGAUACCCUGGUAGUCCACACUGUAAACGAUGAAUGCUAGGUGUAGGGGGUAUCGACCCCUUCUGUGCCGCAGUCAACACAAUAAGCAUUCCGCCUGGGGAGUACGGCCGCAAGGUUGAAACUCAAAUGAAUUGGCGGGG
rnacentral:rRNA from 1 species